UACGUAGGGGGCAAGCGUUGUCCGGAUUCAUUGGGCGUAAAGAGCGUGUAGGCGGCCAGGUAGGUCGGUUGUGAAAACUGGAGGCUCAACCUUCAGAGGUCGACCGAAACCAUCUGGCUAGAGUCCGGGAGAGGAGAGUGGAAUUCCUGGUGUAGCGGUGAAAUGCGCAGAUAUCAGGAAGAACACCCGUGGCGAAAGCGGCGCACUGGACCACAACUGACGCUGAGGCGCGAAAGCUAGGGGAGCAAACAGG
rnacentral:rRNA from 1 species